UCAAUCUCCUUACUCCAAAACCAUACUCAUGCUAAAAAUUCCUCUCUAAUUUGUAUACAAGUUUUGAGUAUGAGUAAGGUUUUAGAGAACGGAGUAUGAGUUUGAGCACAGAGUAACCUCCAGGCCUGCCCUGGCUCAUCCUUGCAGCGACGCGGAGUACACGAAGCAAAACGGGGACAGGGAACCAGGCUAGGUGUACAAAAACACAUAUGUAUGAUGUUAAUAAAAAAAAGAAAGAAACGACGAGAGAACGGUUUGUGUAUACUACGGCCUAAAUGUACGAUCCUCUCCCAUUCUUGGUUCUAUGCCUAUGAGCGGACUCUGAAUGGUAACCGUGGCUUGAGACGAUGAUCAUGAAGUUCAAGUUGAUGUUUCUGACGAAGACGAUUAACUGUGGUACCCGUAUUAUUUUUGAAGACGUUUUAAGACUCAGGGGUAUGUCAUCGAUUUGAAAGAACGAUCUUUUCUGAAGAAUGUCUAAGAUAUAUUGGCAUCUCAUUCUGGAGUUUAACUUAAUUAACAUAAAAAGUUUUUAAGUGCAUGUUUGUAAACAUGUAAAUGAAGUAGAAAACACACCAAGAACCAGGAAUGCCAGGACCUAAGCUAAAACUUUCUGAUUGACCAUGUUGACAUCAACACUGAACAUUUGGAACAGAAAACAAUCUACAGAGAUACAUGUACUGAAGAAAUACCUGCUGUUGAAAAAAAACCCUAGCUAAGACAUGUUUGUUUUUAUUUACAAACAACAUGAUCAGGUAGAAACAACAAUAUAACUCAAAUUGCUGCAUCUGUUGGAGCACCCAUCUUUAGCAGAAAUUUUACUUGAAUUUACAGCAUUUCCAUCAAGGCAUCAAAGCAUGAAUUGAUCGUUGUAACUUACAUGUAACAUCCCUUGCAAGAUUAUUUAACCCUUAUGAGAAAUCACAAAAUGCAGUGAAUGACUUGAAAUUUAGACCUUUGCUCAACACUAAGGCCCAGUGAGGAGUGAAGGUUCUUUAGCGUGCCAAUGCCUGCUCUUACAUGGGACCUCAACUUUUACUGUCUCAUCCAAGACCUCCAACUUUCACUUUAUUGUGCCAAGUGCUAGUGUUGCUGUUUGGGCUGGAACCCUCGACCCAAGAACCAGGAGGGAGCGUUCCACAAAAUGGGUGAUCACAACACCCAUACAGUGAAGAUUCUGAAUUGUUCAAAUCAUGACCCCCAGGGGUAGGGUGUGGCCACAAUUGGGAACCUCCAAGCAUAAUUAAGAGAUGCAAUUACAUGUAUUUUAUAAUGGCUCGUUGUGUACUUGUACAUAGGAAGAACAAUGAAGACAGAAAGGUGUAUGUAACAAAAGUAAAUGAAAACUUAGCUCAAGCAAUGUUCGGGAAGAGUGAUUUUGUUUUUUCAAAUACAUGAGCAUGUCAUAAUGAUUUAAAAAGCGUUAAAAGCUGCUUUUUUGUACAUCUUCCACAAAUGUAUUGUUACAGCAUCAGAAUACAUGAUUAGCCACUGAGAAAACUAUUCAUAUAAAACAAAUUGCAUAUUGUUGUUGUACAUUUACACAGCAUGUACAUUACUCAUUACAUUUACAGAUGUGAUGAAAUAUUUAGGUACUCUACAUGUAGUUACUUGUACAGUUGGUGUGAACCGGUUUUACCAAACAUGAAAACAUUUUUGUUAUUUCUCAUCAGAAAAAAAUAAAACUGUAAUAAAAUUUUGGUUAAAAAAAUUAAAGUUUGUAUACCUAAUAGGUAAAUGAAGUGAAAUCAUUAUAAACAAACACAAAAUAUUUUUGAAUAUUUCAGCACAUUUUGAUACUGAUUGGUACUUUUUCAAUACUUCAUAGUUACAUC